UGGGGAAUAUUGCACAAUGGGCGCAAGCCUGAUGCAGCAACGCCGCGUGAGGGACGACGGCCUUCGGGUUGUAAACCUCUUUUAGCAGGGAAGAAGCGAAAGUGACGGUACCUGCAGAAAAAGCACCGGCUAACUACGUGCCAGCAGCCGCGGUAAUACGUAGGGUGCAAGCGUUAUCCGGAAUUAUUGGGCGUAAAGAGCUCGUAGGCGGUUUGUCGCGUCUGCUGUGAAAACUGGAGGCUCAACCUCCAGCCUGCAGUGGGUACGGGCAGACUAGAGUGCGGUAGGGGAGAUUGGAAUUCCUGGUGUAGCGGUGGAAUGCGCAGAUAUCAGGAGGAACACCGAUGGCGAAGGCAGAUCUCUGGGCCGUAACUGACGCUGAGGAGCGAAAGGGUGGGGAGCAAACAGG
rnacentral:rRNA from 1 species